UAAAAAUUAAGUUAUAAAGAGAAUUGUUUGCUUUUUGGGUUAGUUCAAAAUUUCAUAUUGAAUACUGAUCGCUUCUCUCUGACUAUUGCUUAAUAAGCCUGUUUGUGUGUGUGUGUGUGUGUGUGUGUGUGUGAUAAUAAUUUAA